CGGGCAUGGACGGGGCGCCGGUGGUUGCCGCCCGCCGCGGUGUAUGCGUUAUUAAGGCGAUCGCCUCUCGCCGUCCCUGCCCACCGACGGCCGCCUCGGUCCCUCCCCGCCGACGGAGCCGCGCCGCGGCAGGCUCCCUGCCGGUGGCACAGGAAGGGAGCGGCUGGCGUGCGAUCCGUGCCCAGGGUGCAUAUUAGGGGCCAUUAUCUUGUUGUUGCGCUCCGACUGCCCUCGGGGGCGAGCCGGGCUCUUGGGCCACUGGCGGGAAAAGGCAGCGCCGUGGGGGCCCGCCACUCGCGGAGCCGCGGCGGGGCCCGGACCCACGGCCACCGGCCCCCGCCGAGGGGGCUGCGCGGGACCGAGGGCUCUCCUGGCCCUGCAGCGCUGCUUUGUGCACCAGCGCCCGCCGCGUUAAUUAGCGAGCUGCUUAUCCAUCUCCCUGGGGAGAACUUGGCUUCUGCCACCCUGCCGGCUCUUCGUUAUUCGUUAUGCCGAGAAGUGAAAAUCGAGCCCUUUGGUGGCGGGAAAGGGAAGACAAAGACAUGAACAAGGCAGAGGAAGAAAAAAUACAGAAAGAGUUUAACUGAGCAGUACACCCCUUCUUACACUACUGUUUAAUCCUAAGCAAUAUAUACACUUGUUUUGGGAGUAAGUUCAUUUAUUCCUCUAAGUUGUGUAUAAUUUACUUGACUAGUGGUUAACUAAUCUAUGAAGAAAGUGAUUUUUCCCCAAAUUAAAAUAGUUGAUGAGUACUAUGUAAUGUGCCAUGACAAAAUUGGGGAGAACCAGAAAGGUGGGCGGUUGUGCCCUCAGGAAGCACAUCAAGAAAUACUGUCAGUUUUAGUGAAGCAAUUUCUAUAAGCAGAAUCAUGGAAUGGUUGAGGUGGGAAGGGACCUCUGGAUGCUGCCUCAUCCAGCCGCCCACUCAAGCAGGGUCAGCUAGAGCAGGUUGUUCAGGACCAUGUCCAGCUGGGCAUUAAAUAUCUCCAAGGAGGGAGACCUGAUGAUAGGUAAUGUGCUGUCCUUAGUGAAAACCUUGGAACAAAGCAGAAGCCCUUCUUCCUGAGUGAAGGCAAAUACACUGGUGCUGGUGGGCCAUUUCAGCUAGCAGCACUAGGGAGAAAGAAGUCUGGACCACUUGCAGCCCCAGUUUCUCCGCUCUGCCACUACACCCACUAAGAUGGUAUGUUACGAUGCAGAUGGGUAUGUUAUGAUGAACCAGCCACCCUUGAGUGGCCCUAUCCUCACCUGUGGAGUUAGUAGUGUCCACCUUAUGAUGAUGGGCAGCAAUUGUUGACCCUCAGUUCUCAGCUCACCAAAUGGUUGAGCAGACUUCAGCAGGCUUGAGCUUCUUCAUUCCACAACAAAAAGAUGUGUAUGGACUUAGAACAUACAGGUUCUCACAGAGCAGAGAAAAAGAGGAAUAUAAGGCAGACAUCUUAUAAAAUACUUUCAGAUUGUCUCAGCAGGUUUAGGAUCAACAUUAGAAUCACAGAGUAUGUUCACAUGCUAAAAAAUUUGCAGGGUUAACCAUCUCUCUGGAGUGACAAAUACAACAUCAGUUUUAAGGUAUCCAGCAUUUAUGCUUCAGUGCUAACAUAAAUUAUAAUAUACUAAUACACAAAAGUGGAUGAAGGAUAUUUUGUUGAUUCUUGUUUAGAGUUUAGUCAAAAUUACAUCUGAAUGUUAGACAUGACAUUAUCAGAACAACAUGUGAAAUCAGUCCAAACAGAUUUAUGGAGGGGUGGUACUUCUAGUCCUUGUUUCUAAGCUCAUUCAGAAGAUUUGGACCUUUUUGUUUUUUAGGAAAGGCAUUCUAAAGACCAUUAGUCAAGAUAGAAACUCAUUAGAAUUACCCAGUCAUUUAGGAAACUUCAAAUGAUGAUCAUGUUUAUGUUAGCAGUCCUGACAUAUGUGACAGAACAAGUCAGUCCACCCUUUAUCUGAAGCAACUCGGUUUUGCAACAGUUCGUAGUAAUUCCUAUCAUAGAAAGAUAUUAUGCAAGAAAGCCUUCUCCUGUUUGGUUUCAUUCCAGCAUGGUGAAAAAGAAGAUGAUUGGAUAUCUGGAUUAGACUUCAUCAUAUUCAAUAUCCACCUAGCUUGACAGCACACUGUAUACAAGACAUACAAAAAAACAAACAGGAGGAUGAUAAUUUUGGAAUGUGAAUCAGGCCAAUAGAGACUCAAAAUCUGCAAAGCUGUUACAGAUCAAAAUAAAACACAACUUAAUAUAGCA
ensembl:lncRNA